rnacentral:rRNA from 1 species
GAUUUCGGCCAUACCACCUUAGGCACGCCCGAUCUCGUCUGAUCUCGGAAGCUAAGCAGGGUCGGGCCUGGUUAGUACUUGGAUGGGUGACCGCCUGGGAAUACCAGGUUCUGUAAGCA